UACGGAGGGUGCAAGCGUUAUCCGGAUUCACUGGGUUUAAAGGGUGCGUAGGCGGGUUGGUAAGUCCGUGGUGAAAUCCCCAAGCUUAACUUGGGAACUGCCGUGGAUACUAUCAAUCUUGAAUAUCGUGGAGGUAAGCGGAAUAUGUCAUGUAGCGGUGAAAUGCUUAGAUAUGACAUAGAACACCAAUUGCGUAGGCAGCUUACUACACGAUCAUUGACGCUGAGGCACGAAAGCGUGGGGAGCAAACGGG
rnacentral:rRNA from 1 species